AUAUGAGUAGAGCGGCGGACGGGUGAGUAACGCGUAGGAAUCUACCUAGUAGAAGGGGAUAGCCCGAGGAAACUCGGAUUAAUACCGUAUACCUCUUCGGGAGAAAGAAGGCCUCUCUUUGAAGCUUUCGCUACUAGAUGAGCCUGCGUAAGAUUAGCUUGUUGGUGAGGUAAAGGCUCACCAAGGCUACGAUCUUUAGCGGGUCUGAGAGGACGAUCCGCCACAUUGGGACUGAGACACGGCCCAGACUCCUACGGGAGGCAGCAGUGGGGAAUAUUGGACAAUGGGCGCAAGCCUGAUCCAGCCAUACCGCGUGUGUGAAGAAGGCCCUAGGGUUGUAAAGCACUUUAAGUUGGGAAGAAAAGUUAUUGGCUAAUACUCAAUAACCGUGACAUUACCAUCAGAAUAAGGACCGG
rnacentral:rRNA from 1 species